GUGAUGGUUAAUAUUUCUAUUUCAGAGAACCAUGGUUAUGAUAAUAACCUAACGAUUUUAUUUUUCACUUUGACAUUAUGGACUGUUUUGUGUUGAUCAGUGGCAAAAACUAAUUAAAUCCAUUUUGAUUAAGAACAUAAGAAAGUUUAUAAACGAGAGGAGGCCAUUCAGCCCAUCUUGCUCGUUUGGUUGUUAGUAGCUUAUUGAUCCCAGAAUCUCAUCAAGCAGCUUCUUGAAGGAUCCCAGGGUGUCAGCUUCAACAACAUUACUGGGGAGUUGGUUCCAGACCCUCACAAUUCUCUGUGUAAAAAAGUGCAUCCUAUCUUCUGUUCUGAAUGCCCCUUCAUCUAAUCUCCAUUUGUGACCCCUGGUCCUUGUUUCUUUUUUCAGAUCAAAAAAGUCCCCUGGCUCGACAUUGUCUAUACCUUUUAGGAUUUUGAAUGUUUGAAUCAGUUUGCCGCGUAGUCUUCUUUGUUCAAGACUGAAUAGAUUCAAUUAUUUUAGCCUGUCUGCAUACGACAUGCCUUUUAAACCCGGGAUAAUUCUGGUUGCUCUUCUUUGCACUCUUUCUAGAGCAGCAAUAUCCUUUUUGUAACGAGGUGACCAGAACUGAACACAAUAUUCUAGGUGAGGUCUUACUAAUGCAUUGUAAAGUUUUAACAUUACUUCCAUUGAUUUAAAUUCAAUACUUCUCACAAUAUAUCCGAGCAUCUUGUUGGCCUUUUUUAUAGCUUCCCCACAUUGUCUAGAUGAAGACAUUUCUGAGUCAACAUAAACUCCAAGGUCUUUUUUUAUAGUUCCCUUCUUCAAUUUCAGUAUCUCUCAUAUGAUAUUUAUAAUGCACAUUUUUGUUGCCUGUGUGCAGUACUUUACACUUUUCUCUAUUAAAUUUUUUUUAAAUUUGCCAUGUGUCUGCCCAGUUCUAAAUGCUGUCUAGAUCAUUUUGAAUGACCUUUGCUGCUGCAACAGUGUUUGCCACUCCUCCUAUUUUUGUGCGGUCUUCAAAUUUAACGAGUUUGCUUACUAUACCAGAAUCUAAAUCAUUAAUGUAGAUUAGGAAUAGCAGAGGACCUAAUACUGAUCCCUGUGGUACACCACUGGUUACCUCGCUCCAUUUUGAGGUUUCUCCUCUAAUCAGUACUUUCUGUUUUCUACAUGUUAACCACUCCCUAAUCCAUGUGCAUGCAUUUCCUUGAAUCCCUACUGCGUUCAGUUUGAGAAUUAAUCUUUUAUGCGGGACUUUGUCAAAAGCUUUCUGGAAAUCUAAAUAAACCAUGUCGUAUGCUUUACAAUUAUCCAUUGUCGAUGUUUCAUCCUCAAAAAAGUCAAGCAGGUGAGUUAGACACGAUCUCCCUUUCCUAAAACCAUGCUGACUGUCUCCCAGGAUAUUGUUACCAUAUAGGCAAUUUUCCAUUUUAGAUCUUAUUAUAGUUUCCAUAAGUUUACAUAUAAUACAAGUCAAGUCUGUAGUUACCUGGUGGGUCCCAGAAUCACCCCCCUCCGUCCCCCACUCAACUCAGCCCAGCUUACUUACCUCUACAUCAGCAUUUCUUUCUUUCUAUUGUGCUUGAGGUCCCCAGCCAGAAUCUUUCCGUCUCAACCACAGCCAGUUGCUGCUCCUCUCUGCUGCUUCAGAUAAGUUCUUCACUGUGCGACGCAACUCUUGGCCACUGAAUCCGACGUCUCUGAGAAACCGGGUUGUAGAGUGUGCCAUAAAUCCUCGACAACCCACCUCCACUGGGUAAACCCGGACUCUCCAUCCUCGCUGUUCCGCUUCAGUGGCUAGUUGAGCACACCGCAGUUUCUUCCUCUCAUACGCCUCAUCUACAGCAUCCUUCCAUGGCACUGUUAACUCUACCAGGUGAACAAGGCGAGUUGAUCCAGACCACAAGACAAUAUCUGGUCGAAGGUUAGUGGUGGCAAUCUCAGGUGGAAAAAGCCAUUGACCAACAUUUGCCAGCAUUUUCCAGUCUCUAGCAGCUUCCAGUUGUCCUGGGCGAGGAUUGGUUUUAACACCUUUUCUUGGUGGUUGCGCUCCUGGACGAAGGAAUGUUGUCUUUUGUGUGUAAUGUUUUGAUGGAACAGGUGGCAACUUAUUGGUCAUGUUACGCUUGUCUUCCAAUGCUAACCCCAAACAUCGCAGCACCUGGUCAUGGUGCCAAGUAAACCAUCCUUGACUAAGAGCCACCUUACAUCCUGUCAAAAUGUGCCUUAAUGUUGCAGGUGAUGAACACAAAGGACAUGAGGAAUCCUCUCCUACCCAGAGGUUUAGGUUAUGUGGUGAUGGGAAAACAUCAUAUGUUGACCUGAUGAGGAAACUGAUCCUGCUGUGUUCCAUUGACCAUAGGUCUUGCCAGCCAAUCUUGCGUUGUUCCACACUCUCCUAUCUCAUCCAUUCUCCCUGCUUGGCCUGGGAAAUGGCCUUUAUACACCUCAUCCUCUCCUCCUGCUUUUGCACCUCGUUGACUACCAGCUUCCUCUGUUGAGCUGGGGCUGCCUUGUGCCAUGUAGGAGGGGCUGAAUUGAGACCAAGACCCCCUCUUCCAUGCUGAACUUGCCCCAUGAUAUCACCAAUUCGAAGGGCAGCCUUUGCAUCCUCCACAGCUUUCUUUGCAACCCACUUUCUUCCAGUUUUCAGCACAGGUGCUGCCUCCCUUACACAUUUGUCGCGUGACUCUACUAAUGUCAUUUCCAGUCUGACCUUGGCGCGCUUAAACUCCUCGGUUAGAGCGGGUGCUGGUAGCUGCAGUAUUCCUUUACCAUAAAGUCCCACUCUACUGAGGCAGCGUGGAACUCCCAACCAUUUCCUGAUGUAUGAACCGAUUUAAGGCUUCCAGCUUCUCUACUGUUGUCAACCUCAUACACAGUCAGUGGCCACAGCAACCUCGGCAGUAGACCAAACUGAAAGCACCAGAGUUUUAGUUUGCCUGGUAAAGUGCUGCUGUCUAUGCUCUUCAACCCUUCCACUGCUUGUUGUCUAACUUCUCCCACAUGAACUGUGUCCUUUAGAUCCCCGUCGUACCAUCUCCCAAGACUCUUCACUGGCUUCUCAGACACUGUUGGUAUUGCCUCACUGUUAAUGAAGAACGUUUUAUCUACUACUUUACCUUUAAUUAUAGAGAUGCUCCUUGAUUUAGUGGGCUUGAAUUGCAUUCGUGCCCAUUCAAUGUUAUUGGUUAAUUUGCCCAACAACCGAUUAGUGCAGGCUACUGUUGUAGUCAUGGUUGCCAUGUCAUCCAUGUAUGCUCGAAUUGGUGGUAGUCGCAUUCCAGAAGCCAAGCACUCUCCUCCCACUACCCAUUUUGAUGCCCUAAUGAUUACUUCCAUUGCCAUGGUAAAAGCCAGUGGAGAAAUGGUGCAUCCUGCCAUUAUUCCAACCUCUAGGCAUUGCCAUGUGCUGAAUUCUGAAGUUGAAAAACUAAAUUGCAAAUCUCCAAAGUAGGCUUUCACUAAAUUUGUUAUUGUCAUCAAAUGAAAAAAUCAAAUGCUGCCCAUAGAAGUUCAUGUGGCACUGAACCAUAUGCAUUAGCCAAAUUCAGGAAUGUCACAUGGAGCUCCUUCCUCUCCUUUUUAGCUGAUUGAAUUUGUUGCCAGAUCACACUGAUGUGUUCUAAGCAUCCUGGGAAACCUGGAAUGCCCGCUUUUUGUAUUGAAGUGUCAAUGAAGCAGUUCUUUAAUAGGUAAGUUGACAAUCUCUGAGCAAUAAUGCUGAAGAAAAUCUUGCCUUCUACGUUUAAUAGGGAAAUAGGACGAAACUGACUGAUGCUUGUAGAAUCUUUUUCUUUAGGUAUAAAGACUCCACCUGCUCGGCGCCAUGCUCUUGGUACAACCUGUUUUUCCCAUGCCACUUUCAUCAAUUUCCACAGAAUUCGUAGAACUCCUGAAGCACUCUUGUACACUCUGUACGGAACUCCAUUAGGCCCUGGAGAUGAUGAAGCCCUUGCUUUUUUCACAGCUUGCUCUAUUUCUUUCCACUUAGGUGCACAGUCCUCCAUUUGGUAUUCUGGUGGAUUGAUAGGUGGGAUGUCUGACGGAAAUGACAUAGGCUCCUGUCUUUUUGAAUCUGUAUGUGUUUCCUCCAAAUAUCUCUCCAGCUCAACCUUAGAUGCUUUUAAUGUGCCAUUCUUCUCACUGGUGAAUAACUUCUUUACAAAUUUGAAUGGGUCUUUAUAAAAGUUAGCUCUCGCACGCUCCUUCUUUUUGUAGCGUUUCCGUAGGCGCUCAGCUCUGCGCAAUGUUGCAAGCUUAUCUUUUAUCACCCUUUGCAAGAGAUUGAGUCCCUCCUUCUGACUUUGUUCUGCUCUUCUCCAUUGCUUCCUCAGCUGUCUCCUUUCUCUAACUAAGCGUUCAAUCUCCUGCUGCCGUCUAGACUUUCCAGGAAUAGUUUGUACUUUUUCCUUCCUUUUUUCAACUCCAAACCUCUCGCUUCCAUAUGUGUAGAUGUGGGCAGCAGUGUGGAGUAGUGGUUAGGGCUUUGGGCUCUUGACCGGAGGGUUGUGGGUUCAAUCCCUGGUAGGGGACACUGCUGCUGUACCCUUGAGCAAGGUACUUUGCCUAGAUUGCUCCAGUAAAAACCCAACUGUAUAAAUGGGUAAUUGUAUGUAAAAAAUUAUGUGAUAUCUUGUAACAAUUGGAAGUCGCCCUGGAUAAGGGCGUCUGCUAAGAAAUAAAUAAUAAUAAUAAUAAUAGAUGAUGUUCACAAAUUUAUCCAGCUUCUUUUCAGCUGUUCCACUUAACCUUUCCAGCAAAGCAGAGAUCUGUAUUUACUGUGUCCCAUACAGUUUUCUCACAAGCUCUUGGCCAUUUAACUCCAGGUUUGUGCCCGUCGAGGUUCUUUUCUCUCUUAUGCUGGUUUGUCUGACCGGGUUCAUAAGGAUCAUUAGGUUCAUCACUAACUGUGUGCAUGCAAGUCCUCCUCACAUCUGUGACAGGGGUGCUGAUAUCCUGCGAACUGUGGUUUGCUUCCUGGCGCUGGAUUUCAUUCGACUGACUUGACUGACUUCUUAAGAAGUACUGAUCAAUGCGAGGCCCUUGUCCCUUCUCCCUCAAGCAUUUCAUUCUCCCUUGAUGAAUCUUGAAACCCCUGACCGUUGUCGCCUUGCUCCAGCCGCAGACACAAACCUGGAGUUCCAUGUCUUUGCUAACUGCAGAUCUUGAACUAGUCUUUUGUGAAGUACUCUCCAUACUCAUAUCCGUUUCCAUUCCUAAGUCGUUAACCGCGUUGUCCAACGUUGAGUCAUCUUCCGCCUCCACUCUCGCAGACUCUAGGGGUAUUUUUCUCUUUAAUUUCUUAGAAGCCUUGGGCGGGUGUCUCCAGCAUCCUGUAAACACAGAGCUGGAUACUGCCGACAGGGGUAGCUAACCCUUGCCAGCCCCAAUGGUGUCUCUUUCCUCCUGUCAGCUGUCUCUCCAGGCUGUCACGAGGUCUUUCCCUUGUUGCCAGCUGCACUAUUCACAGCAGUCACUGGAAGUAUCCAGAUCUUCAUGAUUUCCAUUACACGAGAGUAGAUGUUAAAACUUCAUGCUGAUUUGAACUCGGCUCUCGCCAAGAUAAGCACCAACUAAGACGUAGCUUUACAGUAAACUAAUGUGAUCCAUAGGUGUCUCCAUCCAUUUGCGCUUCCUUCCAUAUGAUGAUGUAGAUAUCCUUCUGUCAGGUGUUGAUGGCUGAAGUGUAAUGCUGGCUCCAGGGAUCAGCUUACUACAUACUAAAUAAGACAAAGAAACGGUAACUAAUAUUGUGCAUCAAACAUACUCGUGUCAGACACACAGCCUAACAAAACAUAAACACAAAAGUUAACUAUUCUGAGUAAUGUCUUCCCAAGAUCCUUAAAUAGAUUUUUUGUUAAAACUGCAGUUAAAAAUGUAAAGGCUUGUAGGCUAUUACUGUAUCACAUGUAUACAGGCCUAUUUGCUAUUUACUUGUACCAGUACCUGAUACAAAGGUCCAAGAAACACAGAUGAUGAACUAUACGAAAAGAAUUGGAAAGCUCCAAGCACACAAAUGGUGGUCAUGCAUAAACAGAAAAUUUCUUAUACAGCGUUAACAAGACUAAAAGUUUGCAACAACAAAAAUAAGUUAUAAAUAAGGCUUCUGAUAUUCAGUGUUUUACCCCAACUUUUAUCCUUCCUUUAGGAAUUCAAUUGAUACCUGUUAAGCCAUUUGUGUAUCUCAAUCACAACUGAGAAAUGUGCUAACAGUAAAUAGUUUCACCAAAAAAAAAACUGUAAACUAAAUAAAUUCUACUUUAACACAUUUCUCAGUUGUGACCUGAGAUACAUAAAUUUUAAAAGGAGCGUUGAGAAGUCGUGGUAAAACACGGAAAAUCAGAAGCCCAGUUAUAAAUAAGAUUGCGCUUCCUACUGCGAGCCGCCACACCCACGACAAUGUGCUCUGACCAAUGCAGAGUUUGCUGAUUGAUAGGGAGACCAACAAGCAGAGAGCGUGGAUUUGGAGAUGAAAACUCUGACCCCUGUGUUGAACUUUAAAGUAUGACAUCACAGAUUUGAGACCUGAGCUUUUAAAGGGAGAAUAAUAAUAAUAAUUAUUAUUAUUAUUAUUAUUAUUAUUAUUAUUAUUAUUAUUAUUAUUAUUAUCAGCUGUGAUAAGGACAGUGAAACACUGAUUACAUAUUAUGGUAUUUUAUUCAUAAUCACCUCUGAUUCCAGUCGGUGCAUCCCUAGUUUUAACUGCAAAAAAGCAACGAAACAUGUACAGUGAAUGUUUUUAUCAUGUCACUUGAUAGCAUGUAAAACAUGCUGAACUAUUACAAUUCCCACAACGACGAAAAAAACUGUUUAGAUUGACAGUCUUCUGCAGGACGCACAUCUACAUCUCAUAAUAGUACUGUGUGGUGUGUGCGGCAUUUUGAUUGCUAAGACUACUGGUAUGUUGCUGUGUAUGAUGCAGAAGGGAUGUUCGCUGCUUCCCAGUGUCUCUGAUCUUUAAAUACACAACCUGUUAAAAUAUAUUUAUGAAGCACUUGUCCCACGGACCAGAGCAUGUUGAAAAUGUUUUGACGUUCCCAGACAAGACUUAAAUUUGUAAACUCCUGUCUCGUCCAACCCAAGGGACAGGGUUGCACAAAAGGGAGCUUCCCUUUAUUUCUCAGAUGACACAAGCUCGGAUAAACCCCUUCUAGUCUAGUCCACAUAGCAAAAAAAUGAUUGUGCUCUAAUAGUAAAUAAUUGCUGCUUGGUCUAAACCACUCUUGUCUUUUCCAGGAUGCUUUGCAGGAGCAUUAUGAGAAGGAUGGCUCUUUCCCUGGUCCACAGUUCAAACCCCCAAGGAGACCAUGGACUCUACUAAAUUUUUUCUUCUGGGCCACAGUUUUGCUUUCCCCACUUAUCAGCUUUGCUUUUGGUGUAUUUGUAAGCGGCUCCCCCCUCCUUAUCAUCGGGUUUCUGCUGUUUAUUGGAAUAGCAUGCUUUGCUGUCAGGCGGCUAAUAGGAGUGACUGAGAUUGGAAAGGGCUCCAGUUACGGGAACCAGGAAUUCAAGAAAAAAAAUUAAGUUUUCUGACUCUCGUUAAAACAAAAUGUUCAAUGACCUUCACUAGAGGAGGGGAAAAAAAGACAACAUCUAAAAUCACCAGAAAUACCGUCCGAAGAAACCAACUAAGGAGUGUAACCAGGUUGGAACGCCUGACAGCCAGUUUGAUUUCAGGUCAAAAGAAAACAACACCAACAAAAAGUCUUUUUUUAAACCAAUUUAAACCCAUUUAAUCUUUGUAUUCCAAUACUAAACUUAAAUACUGGAUAUAGGGUGCUGUUUUAAUUGUUAUAACUGAAUAAUAUAAAAUGUUGUCAGUUAGAUUUUUUUUUUUUUUUUUUAAAUCGCCCAGAGUGACUCUUUCUGUGGAAAAUGAAAGGCUUCUAUCCUUUUAAAGUGCGGUGUGAAGCUGGAUCUGGUCAAGUACAGGGGCACAAUAAAGGUAUUUUUAAAUACUCAGAAAGCUUAUCAUUAAGAGAGAGAAAAUGUGUGUUCCUUACGGUUCUGUUACUGCAUUGAUACUUAGGAAUACAUAGGUUUACUUUUUCAUGUUCAAGAACAAAUAUCCUCUGUCCUUUUUACUAAAUUAACAUGUUUUUGUCUGUGACUUGAGAGUCAUUAAAAAGAUAUAUAUUUGUUGUCAUUAAACCAAACCCUAAGCCAAACAUUACUUCUCGCUCUAAGAUUUCAAUCUAUGGUAAAGACAAAUAUAUCUGUUGUUUUGGAUAAAAAAUGAUAAAUUAUAGAUAAAAUGUAGGGUUGCAUUUAUAACAUACACCCUGGCUACGUGCCAGCGUUGGAGAGAAGCAGUGGUUUGCCUGUGGAUUAUUUAAUAUAGUUGGCAGUAAGCCUCUCUCCUGCUAGCCCUAUGGCUGUAAUGAUCAUUGAUUCAAGCCCAAGUUUGGCUAGCCUUUUCCCAGUGUCUUGUAUUAGACUUGCAUCCAGACUGAGACAGCCCCUGCCAGGUAUAGAACUCCAUGGCAUCCCUAUGUGGCCAUGGUCACUUAUACAUUUGGGUGGUAUUGCUCCAGUGCUCAGAAAUCCCAAUAAGAAAUUCACAAAGCCCCCCAGUUGAUCAUUUAGCCAUGUGCAUCUAUAUUUGACAAAGAAACCCUUCAUUUGUACACAGAAUGGUCAUGUUUGUGUGAAGACUUACAUUGGCAUAGGAACGUUACAACUCUUUAAACACAUUAGAAACUCAUUGGGCCUGAUUUUUCCAGCUUUGAGGCAUUUUUGUAAAUGUGUCCACAGUUGAAAAUAUAGUCCUGGCCCUUGUAUCCAGAACAGAAUCUUCAGGUUUAAAUUUGUGCAUGAAAUAAAAUGUUUUCAAAAGUCUGUUGAUAAACAGGAACUAAUCUUGCCGACUGCUGACACAUUAAAUGUGAAAUGGAAAUCUGCAGAAAUGGUGUUAACUCCAAAGUCAGACUGUGAGUGUAACGUGUAUCCCCAGUAGUGUAAAAUAUUGUAGCUAAAUAAAUGUCAGUAAUAAAAGCGAAAUUGAAAAUAGUGGUGAAACCCUCUUCCUUGAAGGAAAACUUUUACUGUUCUAGAUUAUAAAGGUAACCAGCUUGGCACCCCAAAGCCCAAUUUACUUUAUGGCAUAUAUACAAAAAUAUAUAGCGUUCAUAUUAAAUUUAACAGAAUCUCAAAACUAGCAAUGCAAACAUGAAUACACACCAAACUUCUUUGGAAAUUAGUUUUGUGCACUUUAUUAAUGAACAUUACUUCCCGUCAUGCACAGAAGACCAUUUAUAUUAUUAACAUUGUAAUCAUGUACCAUCCUAGGACUUCACUCUUCAGACAUGACUGGCUAAUAUCAAUAUAUGCAGGGAGAGACAUGUAGCUUGGCAGCAUCUCUGUCAUUGCUUGUUUACAGAUGAAGCUGACUUUACCACUACAGCAGAUACCUUAGUUUAUCCUCUCCAUUCUAUCAGUCCCACAGUUAGCAGCAUCACCAUUUGCUAACUUGUUUACAAACUCAGGGAAGAGUUAGUCUGAAAGUUGUGGCACUAGUGAGUCAACACCUGCAGGUAGAUGUGCCUUAGUACAGCAUGUUGCGCAUAACUGCUUUAACAAUCAGGCUGUUCUAUUAUUUGCAUGUGAUGUUCUGAUUGUGAUUUGCAUAUAUUACAUGUAAAACAUUUCCUGACGCAUCUAGAAUGGUGUGUCGUCCCAGCUAAUCUUUGCCAGGCAUAUUUCUUUUUAGGCCACUAUUAAAUCUACUAUUUAGUCUUUUUCAUUGAUAUGAUCAACUUGGAUAACAAUGAAAGUAUGCCAGGUAGGGGAGCCAGGCUCACUAACCAUCAACAAAUAGCCAGAGAGAUCCUUCAUUCAGCUGACCUUGUAAAUGUAUGCCUAUUUACAAUCGGUCAUUUUAUCGCUACACACACACCCACAAAAACUUGGAACUUUGUACAUUGCAGAUAGUUUGAACCAUGUUAAAGGAAUAUCAUUAAUAAUCUCCAAGGUCUCAAUCAUUCAGGACAUGUUAGUUGGAACUUUCUUAAGAACUUUUUAAGAUGAUUAACAUCAAUGUUGAGUGCUACCAGCAGAGCACCAAGAAUAUGCUGUAUUUUGCCAUAAUACUUGUUGUCUUUUUGACUUAGUGCUGUGCAUUCUUCAGAAUGAUUGUUGUGAACAAGUUCAUAAAAAAAGGGCUCAUGGCAGCUGGCAAUUAGGACGUUUUUUUUUAUUUUAUUAAUUUUGUGUAAACACUGGAAUAGUUUUUAUUAGUUAAAUAUAUUGAACUGUUAACAAAUAUAAAAUAUUUGGUCUAUAUGUGAAGUGUCCAUACAAGUUGCCUAGUCAUUUUGAUACUUUAUUAUUGUGAGGGGGGGGACACAAAAUUUCCAUACUUAAAUGGAAGACUUUGAUAUCUGCUGCGUUAUCGGUACUAUGUGAUACAAGAUAGGUCAGUUCCCAAAUGUUUACUUUUGAACUAUUCUUUUGAAUUAAUGAACAAAAUAUAAACAUGAUGGCUGAUUUAGUUUAGAUGUUUCUAUUUUGGCAUGAACAUAAAAUUGUAUUCAUAACUGGACCAAAAUCUUUAAAUACAAACAUACAGUUCAGAUGUGCUUACAAAAUUAAGUAACAUUCAAAAGUUGACCACCAUGAAAUACGCCCACAAUAUGAAAAAUGUGUGUACAAAAGGACAGUCCCUUUCAUAUAUCCAUAUAAUAAGCACUUUUAAAUCUAUUGGACCACAUAAUUUGACUAUCAAUAUAUUUAAGCUAGAAAGUAUGAAAAAUGUAUGUACGUGAAGACAGACAGACAUCUCAAAUUCCAGAUUCUGAUGCUCUCAAAAACUUGUGCUAGAAUGUCCUCAUCAUAACUGAUUAAGCGGUUUUAUAGAUGUAUGUAAAUCUGUGAAGUGCUGCAUCAAUGCAUGUGAAGCGGGGAAUAAUACGUACUGUUAUUAAUGAUAGCAUGUUAAAAAGAAAGAAAAAAACACUCCUGUAUAGUGCUGUUGUAUAGUGCCUUAGUACCAAAUUGGGACAGAUGGUGGUAGAAACGGGACAUCUACAGCUGUAGCAGAGAAUGAAUAAAAAUGGGAAUGUACAUGCACCAACUCCGAUCCAGAACUUGCUGUACACUAUAUCUAAAGUUUCUACUUUUCAUCGAACAAACCAUCACAUUAGCCCAUGCAAUUGUAGAAUUCUGUGUGCAACAAAGGGUAAAAGUGGAAGCAGGCACAGUUUAUCUACUUUUUCAAUUAUAUUGUUUGGUAGGAAGAAUAGCAAGCUCAAUGGGGUCUUCUUUAAUGCAAUCCUAAGUUUUUAAGUAAGGAUUUACCAGUGAUACCUCGUAGUGAACCAAGUAAAAUCUGAUUGAAUUAGUAUAAGCUAAAUGCAAGCACACGCUGGUUUAUGAACAAUAUAACCAGUAAAGAAAAUGUGUAUCCUUAGUAUAUGUAGAACUAAGGACACUCAAGAAAGAGUUAUUUUAAUUGGUUUCAAUGAUCUGUAAUUCAUACAUCUUGUUAUAACAAUUAAUUAGUCAAUGGCUUGAAAACUUGUAAGAUGAUUGAUUGGCUUAAAAACAGUUAUUAAUCUCUGAUAUAAAGUACUUUUGGAGACUAAAAAACACCUAUGGUACUGCUCUCUGUGUCAGGUAUUAUUGCUUAAUUGUGCUGACUACCAGCUAAUUUGAAAUGCACUGUAUAUGUUUCCUCGUGAAAAAAGUUAAAAUACUAAUAAUAAUAUUGAUUGUA